CUCAGAAUCAACGCUGGCGGCGUGCCUAACACAUGCAAGUCGCACGAGAAAGUGGAGCAAUCCAUGAGUAAAGUGGCGUACGGGUGAGUAACACGUGACUAACCUACCCUCGAGUGGGGAAUAACCUCGGGAAACCGGGGCUAAUACCGCAUGACAUCGAUGGAUGCAAUUUCUGUCGAUCAAAGCAGUAAUGCGCUUGAGGAGGGGGUCGCGGCUGAUUAGCUAGUUGGCGGGGUAAUGGCCCACCAAGGCAGUGAUCAGUAUCCGGCCUGAGAGGGCGCACGGACACACUGGGACUGAAACACGGCCCAGACUCCUACGGGAGGCAGCAGUGGGGAAUUUUGCACAAUGGGGGAAACCCUGAUGCAGCAACGCCGCGUGGAGGAUGAAGCCCUUUGGGGCGUAAACUCCUUUCGAUCGGGACGAUAAUGACGGUACCGGAAGAAGAAGCACCGGCUAACUCUGUGCCAGCAGCCGCGGUAAUACAGAGGGUGCGAGCGUUGUUCGGAAUUAUUGGGCGUAAAGGGCGCGUAGGCGGUGCGGUAAGUCUGCGGUGAAAUCUCCCGGCUCAACUGGGAGGCUGCCGUGGAAACUGCCGUGCUUGAGUGUGGGAGAGGUGAGUGGAAUUCCCGGUGUAGCGGUGAAAUGCG
rnacentral:rRNA from 1 species